rnacentral:lncRNA from 7 species
ACAUAGCUCCAUUGGCUUCUCCACCUUCUUGUCGCGUUGAGCCAUGAGAGAAGAGAGGACAGAGAAAGUAAAGCUCGAAACGACAACAAGGAGCCUCUCUGUGGAGACGGGAGGAGAGGGAGAAGGAGCGGUUACGCGUCGCUGCAUCACGUGGAGAGGAGCGAGCGUUGCCUGGAGGGGAGGAGGAAGGGAGCGAUGGCAGCCAACACCAGGGGUGAGGUCAGCUCACGGACGACAGACGGCGGCAGAGACGGGCUCGAUGGAGGAGAGCACCUCCGCGGCACGACAGCGAGGAGCCUCUCUGCGGAGACAGAUACGACCAUGGA